rnacentral:rRNA from 1 species
GUGUCAGCCGCCGCGGUAAGACGUAGGGGGCAAGCGUUGCUCGGAAUCACUGGGCUUAAAGGGCGCGUAGGCGGUUGUGUAAGUCCAGGGUUGAAGGCCCCGGCUCAACUGGGGAAAGGCCUUGGAGACUGCAUGACUUGAGUGAGCGAGGGGAGGGCGGAAUUCCUGGUGUAGCGGUGAAAUGCGUAGAUAUCAGGAGGAAGGCCUGUGGCGAAGGCGGCCCUCUGGCGCUCAACUGACGCUGAGGCGCGAAAGCGUGGGUAGCAAACAGGAUUAGAUACCCUGGUAGUCCACGCCCUAAACGAUGUGCGCUGGAUGUCGGGAGCUCGGCUCCCGGUGUCGUAGCCAACGCGUUAAGCGCACCGCCUGGGAAGUACGGCCGCAAGGUUGAAACUCAAAGGAAUUGACGGGG